UACGGAGGGUGCAAGCGUUAUCCGGAUUCACUGGGUUUAAAGGGUGUGUAGGCGGGUAUUUAAGUCAGUGGUGAAAUCUCCAGGCUCAACCUGGAAACUGCCAUUGAUACUAUUCAUCUUGAAUUCUGUUGAGGUGGGCGGAAUACAUCAUGUAGCGGUGAAAUGCUUAGAUAUGAUGUAGAACACCGAUUGCGAAGGCAGCUCACUAAACAGACAUUGACGCUGAGGCACGAAAGCGUGGGGAUCAAACAGG
rnacentral:rRNA from 1 species